rnacentral:rRNA from 1 species
AGUCACUGACAUUAGAUACCCGCGUAGUCCAGGGUGUAAACGCUGCAGACUUGGUGUUGGAAGUCCUUUGGGGGCAUUCAGUGCCGGAGAGAAGUUGUUAAGUCUGCUACUUGGGGAGUACGUCCGCAAGGAUGAGACUUAAAGGAAUUGGCGGGGGAGCACCGCAACGGGAGGAGCGUGCGGUUUAAUUGGAUUCAACACCGUAAAACUCACCAGGGAAGACUGUUACAUGAAAGCCGAGAUGAAGACUCUGCUAGAUUUUCAG